GUUAAAUGAUUAAUUGGUGGAAAAAUAAUUAUUGUGGGAGCAUUUUUAAUUUGGUAUGAUAAUAAGAGGCAAUAUUUGAUUGCUCUAAAAGGACGUUAGUUUAAGUGAGAAACUUAAGCAAUCAAUAUCUAUAUAAUAUAUUAAAAAAAAAAAAGGCAUUUAAAUUAAGUAAAUCAACAUUCUUUUCUAUUUAAAUCAACUUUAGACUUCAAAUAUAUAUAUAACAAGUGGUAAUAGAAAAGCAAGGGAACCCUUUUCUUUUUUUUCUUUUGCAAAAACAAAAAAAGAAAUUGAAAAUGUAAACGAGGGAAGGGACUUUUUUUACCGUUUGAUUACGCCUAGAAGAAUUCCAAGGGCAACCCCUUUUGACCCUAACAAAAGAAAGCAAUUCCUAUUACUUAUCUCUCUACUUCUUCACCAGCCCCCCCUCCCACGCCCUGAAAUGUCAUAUUGUCGUGCCCGUGGAGUUUAAAUACGUCACCCUUGAUUGAAAAAGGACGAUUGUUUGAUGUCCCUACAACAAACAACUCGUGUGAUUAUUGUAUUCAAAUUAGCAGUUGAUAUAUAGAGAGAGUUAGAGAACUCAUAACUUUAUACACAACGACUCAAUUAGUAUUUGUCAAAACGAUCACAAUUAAAUCAAAGGACAUUUGUAUAUGGUGAGGAAAAUGAAGUUUGUGGUCCAUAUAUAUAUAUAUAUCCUUUGCGUCCGGUGACAAGAAAGUUAAGUAUGAAAGUAUGAUAUUGGUAACAUUAAAUUGGUUUGAUAAAAGUGGAAAACUAGUGAAAGAGAUAGAGAUGAUAAAGAAAGGUAUAUGAAUGGAAAAUACAAUGACAUCCACAGAAUUGGGUGUUGAAAAUUACCUUAGAAUGGCUGUACAUAAAGCACUAACUUUGUAAGGUUUAAACAGCAUGUGGUAAUGUAAUGUAUUGUAUUGUGACAAAGUUUAUAAAUUGACUGUUGAUUAAUAUGUAUAACCAAACUUUUGGCUGCCCCUUCUAAAAUUAAUAAAAAUGAUAAAAAUACCAAACAUUUGGCAAGAAAUUAAAUUGCAUAAGAGCAAUCAAUUGCCCAUUUCUAGAGCUUUAGUAGUAGUGGUGGUAGUAGGCAGCUGCUUCAUUUACAAUAUGCUGUUUUCUUUUGAAAGUUGCAACUCAAGACUUCAUAUUUAAAAGCUCUCCACUUUCUAUUAUUAUUAUUGUUUGUUUUUUCUUUUUUGCUUUCUUUCUCCUUUUAGUGUGUGAGUGAGAUGUUUUCACCCAUAAAAUGAAAAUAUCUAUGUUUGUUUAAAUUAUUAUAACUUUAAAAGCUAUCACUAUUCUUUUAAUCAACAAAAUCAUGCAUCCAUCCAACCAAAUAUCAUAUAAUACGACCUUAUAUAGUCUCUUAAUAACCACUACAUUUCUUUUAGCAUUAUAUGUGUAAACUAAACUUAUAAUUAAGUACUAUCAAAUCAAAUAAUGUUUACAUAUAUCAUUUAUUUAUAAUAGAUGUCUCAACUAUUUUAUAACAUUUGGGUGUCAAAGAAAUUCGUAUUUCCUUAAUAGGUGGUAAUCAUAAAUUGAACACAUGAUCUCUUAAUUAAUUUUUUUCACCUUUGAGCCAGCAUAUAAAUGAGUAAAUUGUUCGUCACAUUUCUAAAAUCGACUGACAAUAAAAAAAUAACUUACUCAUAUUUUAAAAGACGUGAGAUACCUUCUUUCGAUGUACUUUCCUUAAUAUGUCCCAUCAGGAAGCUAUAUAUCAAUCUAUAGGUUUACCAUUUUUAGGUUGGAAUUAAACUAACUUUUACUUUUCCUUUCAUCCACUACCAUAUCAAUAAUGUAUUUUUUUUUUUCCAACUAAUCCUAGAAAUCAACGGUUGGCUCAAAUGAACCUAUUUUUAUAGAACAAAUGAAACUUUUUUCAUCUCACUAUAUUACGAUAAUAAUAAAUAAAUAUAUAUCUAUAUCUAUAUAUAUAUAUAUAUAAGCCUAUGGAAAGAUAACCCUUUUAACAGUAUAAUUCACAAAAACCACCAAUCCUUUGAACCGUAUAAACAUAUAAUAUAUAUAUAUAUAUUAGAAAAUGAUAAUAUUGCGUGAGACAAAGUAAGAGAAAUUAUGGGAUAAUUAUGAAACAAAAAAUCUAUGAAACUAUGAAAAAUCAAUUUGUUUUCCCACGUGAUCAAAGAGAAAUCAAGAUAUUUAAAGGGAAAAAAAAAAGAAGUUAUAAUAUAAGCAUGAUCCUUUUAACAAAGAGUGGAGUGGAUAUGUUUCGUUUAAUUUUGGAAAAUGCCAAAGUUCUAUAUAAAUAAAAAGGUAAAAUUUUAUGCUAUUUUCAACUUUAUCACAUGGUUUAAACAAGAAAUACAUGUUCUAUACGAAACAAGCAAAUUACACCCCACAUUAAACUUAGUGCAAACUUUGUCCAUAAAAGGAGAGCCUCUAUGGAAUAUUUUUUGUUGGCAAUUUUAGUUAUUACUAGUUUCAUUUUAUGGACUUCUAUUUUUUCUUUCUUUUCUUCAAUGCCACCAUCUAUAUAAUACCUACGUUCAUCGGUAAACAUACAAAGUUUCUUUCUUUCUUUCUUUUCUUUUUAUAUGGGUGGCUCAUUCAAUCCAAGACACAUUUAUGAUUAAUGACAUGUCUCUCACAAAUGUAUGAAAUUCCACCUUCUACCUGCACAAAAGCGCACUACCGCACUAGAGAUGGUCAUGACUCAUGUCUGUUGUAGCUCUCAUCUGUUGUCCAUCCAUAUUGCAAUAAAAAAAAUUCUAUUGUGUUUUCCCUAUUUUUCUCAUGGUUAGUCUCUUUUUCUUUUCUUUGGUGAAAAAUAAAAAUUGUAAUAGAAAACCAUCAUGUUAGGGUUACACAUGGUCAUCAUCAUUUUUCUCAUAGUUUGUUGUGUUUUUCUUAAUCACGAUAGAGCGUUUAUAGCAGUGCUAUAAUAGAUAUAGUCAUCCCUAGUGUGAUACAUUGUAAAAUGCAGUCUUCACGUAAGCAAUUUCAUAUGUUUGUAAGCUGCAAAUCAUUAAUCACGAAGACACCUCUAAAUAUGUCGUCAUGUGUACCAAAAGGAAAGGGAAAAAGUAAAAACAACAACAAUAACAAAGUUUGAUGAAUUAGCAAACCUACAGCCUAAAUUUGUAACUAAAAAAAUAAAAAAAAAAACCACCUACAAAAUAUACAAUCAACUUAUGGACCUUAUACAAAUGACUUUAUACAUGAGUUGGACAUCUUCUAAAAAUUUCAUGACAUGAUAUACAUCUACAACAUGUUAACGCAAUUUUAUCAUUUAGAAUAACAAGAUACACAAUUAAAAAUUUAAGUUAGUAUUUAGUUUUAAAUUCUUGCAUUAGCUUAGAAACAACAAUACCACUAAUAUCACUAGCAAGCUCAAAGUAAACAAUAUCAUAUAAUAAGAAGAAUAUAUAUAGAUCAAUUGUUGAGUACACCAAAAAAAAUCAAGUUUGAUUCAUAUGAAAAAGAAGAAGAAUAAAAUGAAACGUUUGAGUAAUAUUCUCCUAGUAUAUGAAAAUCAUGAAAUGAAAAACUUUUAUGGGGGUGGGGAGGCAAGCAAAACUAAAGAAGGGGCUUUAUGCAUUUUAAAGGAGAGAGAAUAUGUCACAUAAACGCAUAUAAAAGAGACCCCCACCAAUUGGUCCAAUUCCCAUCUCUAUAAAUUAAAAUCUUUUCCUUGCAUGCCCAACACUCACUUUGCUUUCUCCCUUCUCUCUCUCUCUUUUCUUUUUUUUCUCUCUUUCCUAAGCCACAGGGGAAAAAGAAACAGCAAGGGGUAAAGGAAGGGGAAAAUAUGCUUGCAGAAGAGAAGUCCCAAAAGUACCCGACAAUGCCAGAGGUACGAAAAAAAAAAAACCUUGUAGAGAGAAUAAUAGCACUAUAUAUUUAUUGUUAAUGGCGUACCUGUUUGUUUGCUAACUUGAUGGAGUUUCCUCUCCUUUUUUGAAGGUCCUUGACGAGCUGAAGCAAAUGGCUGACAUUGGCUUCCCUGUUUUGGCAAUGGGUUUAGUGGGAUAUCUCAAAAAUAUGAUCUC
rnacentral:lncRNA from 1 species